UAAGGAAUAUUGGACAAUGGGCGGAAGCCUGAUCCAGCCAUGCCGCGUGAAGGAUGAAGGCGCUCUGCGUUGUAAACUUCUUUUGGACAGGGACAAAACACUCGACGAGUCGAGUUUUGAGGGUACUGUCAGAAUAAGCACCGGCUAACUCCGUGCCAGCAGCCGCGGUAAUACGGAGGGUGCAAGCGUUAUCCGGAAUCACUGGGUUUAAAGGGUGCGUAGGCGGUCAUAUAAGUCAGUUGUGAAAUCGUUGGGCUUAACCUAUACAACUGCGAUUGAUACUGUAUGACUUGAAUAAGGUUGAGGCAGGCGGAAUGUGGCAUGUAGCGGUGAAAUGCAUAGAUAUGCCAUAGAACACCGAUUGCGAAGGCAGCCUGCUGGGCCUUUAUUGACGCUGAGG
rnacentral:rRNA from 1 species